rnacentral:rRNA from 1 species
GGAGGAAAAGAAACCAACAGGGAUUGCCUCAGUAACGGCGAGUGAAGCGGCAACAGCUCAAAUUUUAAAGCUGGCGUCUUUGGCGUCCGCAUUGUAAUUUGGAGAGGCAUCUUCGGUUUGGGCGCCAGCCUAUGUUCCUUGGAACAGGACGUCACAGAGGGUGAGAAUCCCGUGCUUGGCCGGCUGUCCCAUUCCAUGUGAAGUGUCUUCGACGAGUCGAGUUGUUUGGGAAUGCAGCUCAAAAUGGGUGGUAAAUUUCAUCUAAAGCUAAAUAUUGGUGGGAGACCGAUAGCGCACAAGUAGAGUGAUCGAAAGAUGAAAAGCACUUUGAAAAUAGAGUUAAAAAGUACGUGAAAUUGUUGAAAGGGAAGCGCUUGAGACCAGACUCGGCCGGGGAUGAUCAGCUGUCCUUCUGGGCAGUGCACUUGUCUCUGGUCGGGCCAGCAUCGGUUGAGACGGCGGGACAAAGGCUUCGGGAACGUGGCUCCUUUCGGGGAGUGUUAUAGCCCGUCGCGUAAUGCCGCCAGCCUCGACCGAGGACCGCGCUUCGGCUAGGAUGCUGGCGUAAUGGUCUUCAGCGACCCGUC